rnacentral:rRNA from 1 species
AGAGUUUGAUCAUGGCUCAGAACGAACACUGGCGGCGUGCUUAACACAUGCAAGUCGAACGAGAACGGGUCUAGCUUGCUAGACUGUCAGCUAAGUGGCGGACGGGUGAGUAAUGUAUAGUUAAUCUGCCCUUUAGAGGGGGAUAACAGUUAGAAAUGACUGCUAAUACCCCAUACUCCUUUUACCUUAAUGGUAAUUGGGAAACGUUUUUUCGCUAAAGGAUGAGACUAUAUGGUAUCAGGUAGUUGGUGGGGUAAGAGCCUACCAAGCCAAUGACGCCUAGCUGGUCUGAGAGGAUGAUCAGCCACACUGGAACUGAGACACGGUCCAGACUCCUACGGGAGGCAGCAGUGGGGAAUAUUGCACAAUGGGGGAAACCCUGAUGCAGCAACGCCGCGUGGAGGAUGACACAUUUCGGUGCGUAAACUCCUUUUAUAUGGGAAGAUAAUGACG